GAUGAACGCUAGCUACAGGCUUAACACAUGCAAGUCGAGGGGCAGCACAGUGUAGCAAUACAUGGGUGGCGACCGGCGCACGGGUGCGUAACGCGUAUCCAACCUUCCCGUUACUCAGGGAUAGCCUUCCGAAAGGGAGAUUAAUACCUGAUGGUGCUGAAAUUCCGUAUGUUAUUUCAACUAAAGAUUUAUCGGUAACGGAUGGGGAUGCGUGACAUUAGGUAGAUGGCGGGGUAACGGCCCACCAUGCCUACGAUGUCUAGGGGUUUUGAGAGGAAGGUCCCCCACACUGGAACUGAGACACGGUCCAGACUCCUACGGGAGGCAGCAGUGAGGAAUAUUGGUCAAUGGUCGGAAGAUUGAACCAGCCAAGUAGCGUGAAGGAUGAAGGUUCUAUGGAUUGUAAACUUCUUUUAUACGGGAAUAAAACCUCCCACGUGUGGGAGCUUGUAUGUACCGUAUGAAUAAGCAUCGGCUAACUCCGGGCCAGCCGCCGCCGUAAUAC
rnacentral:rRNA from 1 species